rnacentral:rRNA from 1 species
UCGAGCGGAACGAGUUAACUGAACCUUCGGGGGACGUUAACGGCGUCGAGCGGCGGACGGGUGAGUAAUGCCUAGGAAAUUGCCCUGAUGUGGGGGAUAACCAUUGGAAACGAUGGCUAAUACCGCAUGAUGCCUACGGGCCAAAGAGGGGGACCUUCGGGCCUCUCGCGUCAGGAUAUGCCUAGGUGGGAUUAGCUAGUUGGUGAGGUAAGGGCUCACCAAGGCGACGAUCCCUAGCUGGUCUGAGAGGAUGAUCAGCCACACUGGAACUGAGACACGGUCCAGACUCCUACGGGAGGCAGCAGUGGGGAAUAUUGCACAAUGGGCGCAAGCCUGAUGCAGCCAUGCCGCGUGUGUGAAGAAGGCCUUCGGGUUGUAAAGCACUUUCAGUCGUGAGGAAGGUAGUGUAGUUAAUAGCUGCAUUAUUUGACGUUAGCGACAGAAGAAGCACCGGCUAACUCCGUGCCAGCAGCCGCGGUAAUACGGAGGGUGCGAGCGUUAAUCGGAAUUACUGGGCGUAAAGCGCAUGCAGGUGGUUUGUUAAGUCAGAUGUGAAAGCCCGGGGCUCAACCUCGGAAUAGCAUUUGAAACUGGCAGACUAGAGUACUGUAGAGGGGGGUAGAAUUUCAGGUGUAGCGGUGAAAUGCGUAGAGAUCUGAAGGAAUACCGGUGGCGAAGGCGGCCCCCUGGACAGAUACUGACACUCAGAUGCGAAAGCGUGGGGAGCAAACAGGAUUAGAUACCCUGGUAGUCCACGCCGUAAACGAUGUCUACUUGGAGGUUGUGGCCUUGAGCCGUGGCUUUCGGAGCUAACGCGUUAAGUAGACCGCCUGGGGAGUACGGUCGCAAGAUUAAAACUCAAAUGAAUUGACGGGGGCCCGCACAAGCGGUGGAGCAUGUGGUUUAAUUCGAUGCAACGCGAAGAACCUUACCUACUCUUGACAUCCAGAGAACUUUCCAGAGAUGGAUUGGUGCCUUCGGGAACUCUGAGACAGGUGCUGCAUGGCUGUCGUCAGCUCGUGUUGUGAAAUGUUGGGUUAAGUCCCGCAACGAGCGCAACCCUUAUCCUUGUUUGCCAGCGAGUAAUGUCGGGAACUCCAGGGAGACUGCCGGUGAUAAACCGGAGGAAGGUGGGGACGACGUCAAGUCAUCAUGGCCCUUACGAGUAGGGCUACACACGUGCUACAAUGGCGCAUACAGAGGGCGGCCAACUUGCGAAAGUGAGCGAAUCCCAAAAAGUGCGUCGUAGUCCGGAUUGGAGUCUGCAACUCGACUCCAUGAAGUCGGAAUCGCUAGUAAUCGUGGAUCAGAAUGCCACGGUGAAUACGUUCCCGGGCCUUGUACACACCGCCCGUCACACCAUGGGAGUGGGCUGCAAAAGAAGUAGGUAGUUUAACCUU